UGGGCAGGCUCAUCGCGCAGGUCGUGUGGAGCCGGGCCACGGCCGGCGGUGCCGGGCUGCUUCGGCUCGGGCCGGGGUGCCCUUAGCGGCGGCCGGGGGAGUGGCGGCCUCGCUCCCCGGACGGGGUUCGCACUCGAGGUGCGCGAUAGCGGGGGCGCGGUGCUCGGCCGCUCUUCCCGCCGGCCGGCCGGGCUCCGCCGAUAAGGGCGGUGGUGGUCUGGGCCUCGGCGGAGCGGCCUCCCCGCAGAGCCCAGCCGCGGUGGGGCUGACGCUGGCGCUCUCCCCGAGCCGUCCCCCGGGAGCGGGGUCGCCGCACAAAGCGCUGGUUGUCCCCUCGGCGGUGCCGGAGUGGUGAGGUACAAGGAAGCUUGCUGGGGGACCGGCAGGCAGCCGGCCGGUGGGACAGCCAGCCCGCCGAGCUAGUGCCCGCAGGUUGUUUUUAAAUUCUUCUGUUUACUGAAAAAGCAUAUCCCUCACAUCAGUUGUUCCUAAUUGUGGCAGAAGCCAGAAGCACAGGAAGCAAUAGCCUUGAGGAGUCCCAGGUACAGCUUAGCGAGAAGUCUGGCCUAACAGCUGUGAGGCUUUGCAGUACCUCAGCUAGAUCUACACUGCCUUGCAUCAUGUAAACAACAGGAUUUCUUUAUUUGGAAGGCAUGGAGGUUAUUGUUGUUGAAGGGAGUAUCAAGUACUAAUCUAGUUCCAUUUUUUAAGAUAUUAUUACUUUGAUUUUCUUGGGUUUGUAAUGAUUUUAUUUUGGAUAAUAACUUGCAGUAAUGCUACAAUAUUUUACACCCCAAAGCACAGAUGUACAGUCUGAAAUACAACAUUUCAAUGUGGUUUGUUUGUGGGGGUUUUUUGUUGUUUUUUUUUUACUUUUUUAGGAUUUGUAAUCAGAAAUCUGAUUUUAUAAAUACUAAACAGGAAUCACAAGUGGUACGCUACUCUCUGGUAUGUCCUGUAGUUUGAAAGGAGGGGUACCUAUUGAUGCACCAAAACAUGCCAAAGUAAACCAGAGUACACUAGCAGCUAAAAUGUGGUCACGUUAGUAAUCACUGCUUGAACAACAACACAAACAACUAAAAUGAUUUGUGAAUGUGUAGUUAGAUAUUUGGUGUUGUGUUUGUAAGAGAAGCUUUAUGAGAAGGAGAAUUGACACGAUUCACAGUUUUCUCAUCCACCGUUCCUAGGUCAGGUCUCCAGCACUGUUGUCUCCCUGCACACUGGAGCCAGAAUGAAUAAAAAAAAUGGUGAAAUCCAUAGUCUGGCAAAUAACUUGACAUUCUAUGAAUUCCUGUGUACUCAUUUGUCGCUUACUCAUUUCAUGAGAGAAAUUAUUAUAGUGGAAACAUAAUAUUCUGACUUGGUAACAGGGUAAGGUGGCUGAAAUGUUUAAAGGAUUGACUGGUGAGUUCAAGAUAUAUGCAUGAUGGUAUUUCUGCUGCAGCAGAAAAAAAGGAUGGCAACUGAGAUCUAUUACAUGAAAUUUUCUCAUUUCCUCUGCUGAAUAAUGAACUUUCUCUAGGUAAUAGUUUCCUCAUAACGUGAACAUAAUACAUACUUCACAGUAUUCUUAACCAUUUACAAUUUAUUACUGUUUUUAGAGAUUCUUGAGCUUCUUCGGUGAAAAGUAUAAGGUUUAUAUAAAACAUUAUUUUGUAGGUACAACACAGAUAUUAACUGAUGUCACUUUCCAAACAACUGCUUGAGUUCUAUUUAAAAUUUAAAUACAUAAAACUCUACUAUUGAAAGUCUUCUGAAUAGGCCGUGUUAAAAGUACACAGAAAACAGUAUUUGCCAGUAUGAAAACUUUCCUGAAAGGUUUAAAAAGGCUCAGGUAGCUUAAUGUGAAUAUACUGUACCACAGGAACGUGCAUACCACAAGUUGUUUGCAUAUGGUCACGCUUUGCAAAAGAUUGAUCCUGUAAAACAAGGUAAGACAAUGCAGUAAUGUGCCAGGCACUAAUAAGACACUGAGAAACUACCUCACACAAAGGUGAAUGACAUCAACCAUUCAGAUAAUGCAGUAAAAGACAAACGCAUAUGAAGUCUCAUAUUCAUUUGAAAAUAUGCACUGUAAAUAAGAAAAAAAUACUGAAAAGAGUUUGCAUUUGGUUAACAGUCUGGCUGUAGACUAGAUUUUCUAGCCACUUGUAGGUUGUUUUUGAUGGGGGAGCAGAUUUUUUUUGUUGGUGGUAGAUGGCUGUACAUGACGGUGAAGAGCAAGACUGAAGACUAAAAAACAAAAAGCAAAAGCAACUGAAUAAAUGGACCUCACUAGAUGCAAACUAAAGGUGUCUGGGAGCUAUAAAGAGAAGAAAGAGAUACAAGUGAAAAAUAAUUAAAUGGAAGAGUAUUCAGUAUAACAGAAGAUUAUCAGGCUAUUCACAGUGUAGUUUAUGUGAGAGAACUUUUGUAUUUUUUUCUUAUCAAGAGCUGUUAGUUCUUAAUCUACCAGUAAUAAAUAUAAAUGGCUAAAGCAAAAUAUUUUCUCUGAAGAGGAAAUCUCUUCUAUCAAAUGCUAGCUCAACUAAUCUAGCUCCCUGAUGAUGCUAUUUUGCCAGCUGGCUUAUUUAUGAAAUGUUUUUUCUCAUUCUGUUUAUCUACCACUUUUGCAUAUUACAGGAGGUUUCAGUCUCCAUUAAGUCUGAAAAAUGUGUUUUACUAAACUAUUUGAGACAAAUAUAUAUAUUUGUAAAAUACUUUCUCAGAAAAACCUGAGGAAUCUCUCAGUAGAAUGAUGUCUAGUUUAAUUUGGAAAAUGAUGUUUUAGAAAGGGGCACUAGAUGUUUCUUAUCAUAUUUUAGUGAAGACAGAUAUGACUUGCUCUUGUUUCCUUUUUUUUUUUUUUUGUUUUCCUGGAAACGACAGCUCUGCAAAUUCAACCUUGUCUCAAAGCUAAGUUGUAUUGUCUAAGAUUCAUCAUCACUAAGGGUUGUGCAAUCACGGAGUUCAAAUGUUUUUCUUCCACCUGUGUAUAUUUAUACAUACCCCAACACAGAUGUCAAAGAGCAGUAUGCUGGGGUUUACAUUUUUAGUAUAGUGGUAGAACCACUCAAGAUUUGCAUGACACUGUUCUCCAAAACAUUGUGCCUAGCAAAAAAAAAAAGCAGCAUCCUUCCUCUCACAGUAUCAGUUGAGCAAUACUUUUUCAUUGUGUUACAAGCAUCUCCUCGUAAGGAUUAUUUUUAUGUCAUUUUUAAUAUGAUUUUACUAGGGUGCACAUGAUCUAUGCAGCUUUUAUUAAAAAAAGUGGUCAUACUGCUAAAAAAGGGGGUUGAAUCACUUUCUGAAGGCAAUUACACAAUUUCUGACUUAAAGGGGAAGGAGGGGAGUUUAGAAUAAUACUGGCCUGGUUGUAGUGUUUUGUUUGGGUCACUGCUAAUAGCAUAAACAAAUGUAUUUCUUAAUCGUGAAUGGGUAGAGGUAAAAUAACUUACUCUGGAACUUGCUGACUUUCCUUCUAUUGCAUACAGUGCCCUCACGUGGCUCUUUCAUUUUCCUGAUGCAGCGGACAGAGAUGAUAUAUAAUGUUUUAACAGUUCUGUGUACUCAACUCUCUCACCACACUUUUGUAACACCUAUUAUCUUUGGGAUUUUAUGCAUACAAGCUAAAGCAUGAAAACUGCAAACAAUAGCUUAUUACUAUACUAAGCUUCAGGGGUAGUUUCAUAUUCAAAUUAAAACACUGAAAGCAAAAUCCUGAUAAUUAAUUUAAACCCAGCCAGGUAAUGACUCAGCCAGGACUCCUCUGUUUUCAGCAAGUCGGAAAAAAAGUUGUAUAAAAGCUUCAUUAGAAGCUCUUUUAUUCUUUUUCAAAGUUUGCUUAGAUUAGCAAUGUGGUAAAUAGGAACACUGAAACCUCUUAAAUGCUGGAAUACUUGUUUGUUAGUAAAUUAUUAUAUCUAAUUCCACCUAGCCCAUAAAAGUAAGUACCUGAGCUACCUGCAUUUGAUACACUCACUGAACAGGAAGGAUAUACAACCUUGUAAUAGAACAAAUGAAAGCUCCAAAAGCUUUUACUAUUUUGAUACCUCACAUAUAAAGCUAUUUUAAAGCUGAAAAGUCCUCUGAGUAGAAUCAUUUGGAUUCAGAGUUACUGCAUUAUAAAAGUUUUACAACUCACUAAUCUUCACAUACAAGUUCUAAAUAUGCAAUUUUACUUGUCAAUAAUGUUACAGAACAAUUUCUUUUAGCAAUAAUUUUUUGGCAAAAAAUAUAGGAAAAGAAAAUUAUCUAGGGUUGCUCGUACAUACUGAUAAUUUAACUGCUUAGCUACAAUGACAUGAAAAUAAGUUGGUGCCCCUUUUUAAUUAUGAAGGAAAAAAUGACAUUUGUGAAUUUUUUUCAAGUAACCUCAGGUCCUGAGGAAGGACAGAACAAAUCUGGGAGUUGAACUAAGCAGUUGAUGGCUAACUAAUAAAUGUUGUUUGGGAGAGCUCAACUUCUGUUUAUUUUCCUAUUUCAUGAAGAAAAAGACGUAGAUCUUGUUAGUGUAGGUUGCGCAAGUUUAAACUCGUGAACUGCUAUUUUUUAUAUAUUCAGCACUGCCAUCUAGUGGACAUGAUUGCAGUGAGCUUCCGUUUGUUGUCGAGCAUUAAAGGGGUUUAAGGUAAAAUAAUCACACAUUUAAAAUUCUUCAUAAACUUAAAAAAAUGAAAGCUGUAAGAUUAAUACUUUAUUACUGUGUAUUUUUAUAAUCACAAAAGGUACGCUCAAUUUAUGCUUGUAUUUUGUAUGUCACCACAUGAAAGACAAAUGGCCACAACAGAAGUCUAGAUUAAAAAUAGCUGGAAUGAAAUAAAGGUUUAUUCCUGCUUUCAUUUAUCUUGGUUUUAGAAAAAAAAUUAUUUUAAAAUUAUUUUAAUAUUAUCUGCACCAAUACUGCAGACCGAGUAGCUCAUUUAGUGAAAAUUUAAUAUAAAAUGAAUAUAAGAUGAAUAAUCCAGCAUAAACCUUGUGCAAAAAAUAAAGAAUGUGGUUGCAAGGGAAGGAGAGACAGGUACCUUGCUCAGAAUUUAGCAAAUAUUCUCUUCUUCUACAUGAAAAAGACUAAAGGAUCUGUUACUGUAAAAAUGGGAUUUGAAAUCAGAGGCAAAAAGAGCAGAUAGUAAUAUGGAAGGCAUCUGCAAAUGAAAUGGUGGUGGUGGUGAAUGUGGACUAUUUACUGUCAGUUCCGAUUGCAGUCUGUAAAACAGCUUUUAAAUAAAGCAGUAGGUCAUAUAGUGGCGUAUUUUGUAGAGUGUUUGUAUUAUCAUAGGCCUGUGGGAUUCCUAAUUUUGGACCAGACUAAUACAGUGUUAGAUGUAGCAUAAACAAAA